UAACAAGGUCUCCGUUGGUGAACCAGCGGAGGGAUCAUUACUGAGUUUACGCUCUACAACCCUUUGUGAACAUACCUACAACUGUUGCUUCGGCGGGUAGGGUCCCCGUGACCCUCCCGGCCUCCCGCCCCCCCCCGGGCGGGUCGGCGCCCGCCGGAGGAUAACCAAACUCUGAUUUAACGACGUUUCUUCUGAGUGGUACAAGCAAAUAAUCAAAACUUUUAACAACGGAUCUCUUGGUUCUGGCAUCGAUGAAGAACGCAGCGAAAUGCGAUAAGUAAUGUGAAUUGCAGAAUUCAGUGAAUCAUCGAAUCUUUGAACGCACAUUGCGCCCGCCAGCAUUCUGGCGGGCAUGCCUGUUCGAGCGUCAUUUCAACCCUCAAGCUCUGCUUGGUGUUGGGGCCCUACAGCUGAUGUAGGCCCUCAAAGGUAGUGGCGGACCCUCCCGGAGCCUCCUUUGCGUAGUAACUUUACGUCUCGCACUGGGAUCCGGAGGGACUCUUGCCGUAAAACCCCCCAAUUUUCCAAAGGUUGACCUCGGAUCAGGUAGGAAUACCCGCUGAACUUAAGCAUAUC
rnacentral:rRNA from 1 species